GACGUAGGGCGCGAGCGUUGUCCGGAUUUAUUGGGCGUAAAGAGCUUGUAGGCGGUUUGUCGCGUCUGCCGUGAAAUUUCGAGGCUCAACCUCGAACUUGCGGUGGGUACGGGCAGACUAGAGUGUGGUAGGGGAGACUGGAAUUCCUGGUGUAGCGGUGAAAUGCGCAGAUAUCAGGAGGAACACCGAUGGCGAAGGCAGGUCUCUGGGCCACUACUGACGCUGAGAAGCGAAAGCAUGGGGAGCGAACAGG
rnacentral:rRNA from 1 species